CAUAUUGGACAAUGGGGGCAACCCUGAUCCAGCCAUGCCGCGUGUGUGAAGAAGGUCUUCGGAUUGUAAAGCACUUUAAGUUGGGAGUAAGGGCUUUAGUCUAAUACCCUGAAGUUUUGACGUUACCAACUGAAUAAGCACCGGCUAACUUCGUGCCAGCAGCCGCGGUAAUACGAAGGGUGCAAGCGUUAAUCGGAAUUACUGGGCGUAAAGCGCGCGUAGGUGGUUCAGUAAGAUGGGUGGGAUAUCCCCGGGCUUAACCUGGGAACUGCUUUCAUAACUGCUGAGCUAGAGUACGGUAGAGGGUAGCGGAAUUUCCUGUGUAGCGGUGAAAUGCGUAGAUAUAGGAAGGAACACCAGUGGCGAAGGCGACUACCUGGACUGAUACUGACACUGAGGUGCGAAAGCGUGGGGAGCAAAC
rnacentral:rRNA from 1 species